CAAGUACGGGGGCUCGCAAGGGCAACCGGCGAACGGGUGCGUAACACGUGAGCAACCCGCCGAUCUGAGGGGGAUAGCCGGCCCAACGGCCGGGUAAUACCGCAUACGUUCUCGAGGGGGAGUCCCCUUGAGAAGAAACCUCCGGGGCAGAUCGAGGGGCUCGCGGCCUAUCAGCUAGUUGGCGGUGUAAUGGACCACCAAGGCUAUGACGGGUAGCUGGUCUGAGAGGAUGGCCAGCCACAUUGGGACUGAGAGACGGCCCAGACUCCUACGGGAGGCAGCAGUGGGGAAUCUUGCGCAAUGGCCGAAAGGCUGACGCAGCGACGCCGCGUGUGGGAUGAAGCUCUUCGGGGUGUAAACCACUGUUGCCCGGGACGAACAUCCUCUUUCGAGAGGACUGACGGUACCGGGUGAGGAAGCACCGGCUAACUCCGUGCCAGCAGCCGCGGUAAUACGGAGGGUGCGAGCGUUGUCCGGAAUCACUGGGCGUAAAGGGCGCGUAGGUGGCCUGUGGAAGUCUGCGGUGAAAGCCCGGCGCUCAACGCCGGGUCGGCCGUGGAUACUCUCGGGCUUUGAGCUUACUAGAGGCAGAUGGAAUUCCGGGUGUAGCGGUUGGAAUGCGUAGAGAUCCGGAAGAACACCGGUGGCGAAGGCGGUCUGCUGGGGUAAUGCUGACACCUGAUGCCGCGACAGCGUGGGGAAGCAAACAGGAUUAGAUACCCUGGUUAGUUCCACGCCGUAAACGAUUGGGCACUAGAUGCUUGGGGGAAC
rnacentral:rRNA from 1 species